rnacentral:ncRNA from 1 species
AUAAAGUUUUCGUGUGUUGGUUUCGCAGGCUCAACAAAAGCCCGCGGAUGAAAAGGGAAUACGGUGAGGACGACCCAAUCGGGACCGAAUCCGUGGCUGCCCCCGCAACUGUAAACGGAGAGCAAAGUCCAAAAUGCCAUUGGCUGAUGCCGAUAAGGCGGACGGCGCAAAGACCCGUGAGCCAGGAGACCUGCCAGCGCAUAACACCGCCU